rnacentral:lncRNA from 1 species
AAUCAAUAUACUUAUAUAAAGGAGAAGCGAGGGGCGUGUAGGUGGCGCUUCUCACAUCGCUCCGUUCUAUUUUUCUAAUUUUCUAGAAUUUCUGGAUAAAUAUAUCAAAAAUUAGAACUACCUUUUUUAGUUUCACGUAUAUUAGAAGUAACUUUCAGAAUCUGAUUUUGUUUCAAAUUAUUUAUGGAAUAUAUUAGUUUGAAAGUUUUAAUCUGAUUUUGUUUCAGAUUAUUUAAUUAUGGGAAAGAAUAGC